rnacentral:sRNA from 1 species
UCCAAGUACGUCCCCCG